AACGAACGCUGGCGGCAGGCCUAACACAUGCAAGUCGAGCGAGACCUUCGGGUCUAGCGGCGGACGGGUUAGUAACGCGUGGGAACGUGCCCUUCUCUGCGGAAUAGCCACUGGAAACGGUGAGUAAUACCGCAUACGCCCUUCGGGGGAAAGAUUUAUCGGAGAAGGAUCGGCCCGCGUUAGAUUAGAUAGUUGGUGGGUAACGGCCUACCAAGUCUACGAUCUAUAGCUGGUUUUAGAGGAUGAUCAGCAACACUGGGACUGAGACACGGCCCAGACUCCUACGGGAGGCAGCAGUGGGGAAUCUUAGACAAUGGGCGCAAGCCUGAUCCAGCCAUGCCGCGUGAGUGAUGAAGGCCUUAGGGUCGUAAAGCUCUUUCGCCAGAGAUGAUAAUGACAGUACCUGGUAAAGAAACCCCGGCUAACUCCGUG
rnacentral:rRNA from 1 species